UCUCGUAGCUUGCUAUGAGAACGGUUAGUGGCAGACGGGUGAGUAAUGCAUAGGAAUCUACCUAGUAGUAUGGGGUAGCCACUAGAAAUGGUGGGUAAUACUGUAUAAUCCCUGCGGGGGAAAGAUUUAUCGCUAUUAGAUGAGCCUAUGUUAGAUUAGCUAGUUGGUAGGGUAAAGGCCUACCAAGGCAGUGAUCUAUAGCUGGUCUGAGAGGAUGAUCAGCCACACUGGAACUGAGAUACGGUCCAGACUCCUACGGGAGGCAGCAGUGGGGAAUAUUGGACAAUGGGCGCAAGCCUGAUCCAGCUAUGCCGCGUGAGUGAGGAAGGCCUUAGGGUUGUAAAACUCUUUCAGUGGGGAAGAUAAUGACGGUACCCACAGAAGAAGUCCCGGCAAACUCCGUGCCAGCAGCCGCGGUAAUACGGAGGGGGCAAGCGUUGUUCGGAAUUAUUGGGCGUAAAGGGCAUGUAGGCGGUUCGGUAAGUUAAAGGUGAAAUGCCAGGGCUUAACCCUGGAGCUGCUUUUAAUACUGCCAGACUGGAGUCCGGGAG
rnacentral:rRNA from 1 species